ACGUAGGUGGCAAGCGUUGUCCGGAUUUAUUGGGCGUAAAGCGAGCGCAGGCGGUUUCUUAAGUCUGAUGUGAAAGCCUUCGGCUCAACCGAAGAAGUGCAUCGGAAACUGGGAAACUUGAGUGCAGAAGAGGACAGUGGAACUCCAUGUGUAGCGGUGAAAUGUGUGUAUAUAGGGAAGAACACCAGAGGCGAAGGUGGCAUUCUGGUCUGUAUCUGACUCGGAGGCUCGUUAGCAUGGGUUGCAGACAG
rnacentral:rRNA from 1 species